GACGAACGCUGGCGGCGUGCUUAACACAUGCAAGUCGAACGGUAAGGCCCUUCGGGGUACACGAGUGGCGAACGGGUGAGUAACACGUGGGUGAUCUGCCCUGCACUUCGGGAUAAGCCUGGGAAACUGGGUCUAAUACCGGAUAGGACCACUGCCUGCAUGGGUGGUGGUGGAAAGCUUUUGCGGUGUGGGAUGGGCCCGCGGCCUAUCAGCUUGUUGGUGGGGUGAUGGCCUACCAAGGCGACGACGGGUAGCCGGCCUGAGAGGGUGACCGGCCACACUGGGACUGCGGUACGGCCCAGACUGCUACGGGAGGCAGCAGUGGGGAAUAUUGCGCAAUGGGCGCAAGCCUGAUGCAGCGACGCCGCGUGAGGGAUGACGGCCUUCGGGUUGUAAACCUCUUUCAGCACCGACGAAGCGCAAGUGACGGUAGGUGCAGAAGAAGGACCGGCCAACUACGUGCCAGCAGCCGCCGUAA
rnacentral:rRNA from 1 species